rnacentral:lncRNA from 1 species
CUUUUUUUUUUCUUUUUUUUUUUUUUUUUUUUAUCUUUUCUAGGGCCACACCUGCGGCAUAUGGAGGUUCCCAGGCUAGGAGUCUAAUCUGCCGCUGGCCUAUGCCACAGCCACAGGAACAUGGUAUCCGAGCCGCAUCUGCGACCUACACCACAGCUCACGGCAACAUGGGAUCCUUAACCCACUGAGCGAGGCCAGGAAUUGAACCCUCAACUUCAUGGUUCCUAGUCGGAUUCGUUAACCACUAAGCCAUGGCAGGAGCUCCCCAAUCAUUUUUUAAGGUGGUUGUUCCAUUUUACCUUCCCACCAGCAAUACAUAAUAAUUUCAAUUGCUUUACAUCCUCAUCAGAAUUUGGGGUUGUCAGUCUUAAUUUUAGAGAUUCAAGUUAAUGUGUAGUUUUAUCUCAUUGUGAGUUGAAUUCACAUUUCUCUGUUGACUAACGUUAUUGAGCAUUGUUUCAUGUGCUUAGCAACCAUUUGUAUAUACUUUUUUUUUAACUUUUAAAAAUUUUUUUGCAUUUUAGGGCCAUGGAUCAGCAUACGGAAGUUCCCAGGCAAGGGGUCUGAUUGGAGCUGCAGCCGCAGGCCUAUAUCAUAGCCGUAGCAACACCGCAUCUGAGCCACAUUAUAUCCUGGAUAUCAUGAGCUUUAUACUGUUGAGAACAUGAAGGAUGUCUGCAAUGCCAGAUCCUUAGCCCACCGAGCAAGGCCAGGGAUUGAACCCACAUCUUUGUGGAUAUUAGUCAGAUUCAUAACCUGCUAAGUUACUGGAGGAACUACCUGAAAACACUCUUUUGUGAUGUGUCUAUCAACUCUUCGGUUCCUACUAUAUUGCACAAUUUGUCCUCUCAUAUAUUGUUAAGAGUUGUACACCCAUACAGAAUAUAUAAAUCACUCUUAAAGCUAUUUUAUGUACUGUUUGGAUAUUUUUAUUUAAUCUGUAGUUUCUAUUUUCAGUUUCUUAAUGAUGUCUUUCAAAGAGUGGCUGUUUUCACCUUUUUUUUUCCUAUGGCCACACCCAAGGCAUAUGGAAAUUCCCAGGCUAGGGGUCUAAUUGGACUGCAGCUGCGGGCCUACCCCACAGCCACAGCACCACGAUAUAUGAGCCACAGUACAUCCUGGAUAUCAUGAAGUUUAUAUUGUUGAGAAUAUAAAGAAUGUCUGCAACACUGGAUCUUUAACCCACUGAGUAAGGCCAGGGAUUGAACCUUCAUCCACAUGGAUACUAGUUGGGUUCAUUAUUGCUGGGCUACAGCGAGCACUCCAAGAGUGGCUGUUUUAAUAAUGAUAAACUCCAACAUAUCAGUGACUUUUAUGCUUUCGAUACUAACAAAAAACUUUGCUUACCCAAAGUCAUAAGGAUAUUUUAUCUACUUGUUCUUCUAGCUUUAGCAUUUAUGUUUUAUUGACAUACAUUUCAAGUUAAUUUUUGUGUACAACAUGAAGUAAAAGUCAACAUUCAUUUUUUUCCUUAUGUUUUUACAGACCCAGCACGGUUUGUUUAAAAGACAGCAUUUUCUCUACUGAUAUUUAUUGGCUGCUGGGCCUGUUUCUAUUGACUGAUUUUUGCUCUAAUUAUAGGUCUCAUUUUCCUAAUUUUUUUAUGUAGUCAUUAUAUUUUAUCCUGGGUAUCAGGAUAAAAUAUAUAUUUAUAUUGUUGAGAAUCUUGAUUUUGUUGUCUUCCUUUAAGGAGUCCUAUCCUAAAUUAAGUUACUUGCUCUUAGGUCUGAUCCUUUC